AGCAGCCGCGGUAAUUCCAGCUCCAAUAGCGUAUAUUAAAGUUGUUGCAGUUAAAAAGCUCGUAGUUGAAUUUCGAGAUCAAAUUGUUGGUCGUGCCUCGGUACGUACUGGCAUUAUUGAUUUCUCCCUUCUGAAGAACCUUGAUGUCAUUAAUUUGGUGUCUUGGGGAAUCAGGACCGUUACUUUGAAAAAAUUAGAGUGUUUAAAGCAGGCUCACGCUUGAAUACAUUAGCAUGGAAUAAUGAAAUAGGACGUUUGAUUCUAUUUUGUUGGUUUCUAGGAUCGACGUAAUGAUUAAUAGGGAUAGUUGGGGGCAUUAGUAUUCAAUUGUCAGAGGUGAAAUUCUUGGAUUUAUUGAAGACUAACUACUGCGAAAGCAUUUGCCAAGGAUGUUUUCAUUAAUCAAGAACGAAAGUUAGGGGAUCGAAGACGAUCAGAUACCGUCGUAGUCUUAACCAUAAACUAUGCCGACUAGGGAUCGGAUGAUGUUAAUUUUUAAUGACUCAUUCGGCGCCUUACG
rnacentral:rRNA from 1 species